rnacentral:lncRNA from 1 species
GGAAUGUUCAUGAUUAUAAACAGUCGUACUAAUGUUAUAAAAUGAGUUAAUUGUUUAAUCUGAAAUCAAAGCUCUUCCGCUUACGUACUAGAUACAGUCUACACCUGUGUAAAACAGAAAUUGUGUUAUGAUAGGAAAUGAAUGAUCUUAUUGCUUGAGAUAUAAAAAAGAUUUUGACGAAUGAUGUUAUUCAGAAGGCGUGAGAAUUCGGUGAUUUCGUCACUGGGUUAGAUUGCUGACAAUUCUAUAUAUAUAUGUAUAAUACAAAGUUUUUAGAAUGAUGAUACAUUAGUUAACCAGAACAUAGUUACAAC